rnacentral:misc_RNA from 1 species
GAUGAAGAACGCAGCGAAAUGCGAUAAGUAAUGCGAAUUGCAGAUUUCAGUGAGUCAUCGAAUCUUUGAACGCACAUUGCGCCCGCCAGUAUUCUGGCGGGCAUGCCUGUUCGAGCGUCAUUUCAACCAUCAAGCCCUGCUUGCGUUGGGGUCCUGCGGCUGCCCGCAGGCCCUGAAAACCAGUGGCGGGCUCGCUAGUCACACCGAGCGCAGUAAUACAUCUCGCUUUGGGCGUGCGGCGGGUUCUUGCCGUUAAACACCCCCUUUUUACCAAGGUUGACCUCGGAUCAGGUAGGAAUACCCGCUGAACUUAAGCAUAUCAAUAAGCGGAGGA